rnacentral:rRNA from 1 species
UACGGGGGGGGCAAGCGUUGUUCGGAAUUACUGGGCGUAAAGGGCUCGUAGGCGGCCAACUAAGUCCGACGUGAAAUCCCCAGGCUUAACCUGGGAACUGCGUCGGAUACUGGAUGGCUUGAAUCCGGGAGAGGGAUGCGGAAUUCCAGGUGUAGCGGUGAAAUGCGUAGAUAUCUGGAGGAACACCGGUGGCGAAGGCGGGUCUCUGGGUAGUAACUGACGCUGAGGAACGAAAGCGUGGGUAGCGAACAGG